UUCGUUUUUUAGGACUAAGCCUCCCUUUGUCUCUCCCCGCAGCUGCUUUUUUCCAUCCUUUCAUCUCUUUUAUUUCUCCAUCAUAAAAAAAUCCUAAAUAUAGCGUGAUAGAACGGCAAUCCCACGUUGUCUCAUGGCGGGCCACAAGGACGUAUGGACACAUGAGAGAGGACACUGGAUCAACUGCCUCGUCUUAAAAGCGUUCUUCAGCUGUUUUUCUCCCAUUUCGUGAAAUAAAAAUGUUACAAG